rnacentral:rRNA from 1 species
GAUGAACGCUGGCGGUAUGACUUACACAUGCAAGUCGUACGGAAAUCACAUUUAUUUGAUUUUAGUGGCGGACGGGUGAGUAACACGUGAGAAUUUGCCUUUAGGAGGGGGACAACAUCUCGAAAGAUUUGCUAAAACCCCUUAUGCCCUCGGGUGAAACAGAAUAAUCUGCCUAAAGAGAAGCUCGCGCCUGUUUAGCUAGUUGGUAGGGUAAUGGCCUACCAAGGCGACGAUCAGUAGCUGGUAUGAGAGGAUGAUCAGCCACACUGGAACUGAGACACGUGCCAGACUCCUACGGGAGGCAGCAGUGAGGAAUUUUCUGCAAUGGGCGAAAGCCUGACAGAGCAAUACCGCGUGAGAGAUGAAGGCUUACUGAGUUGUAAGCCUCUUUUUUCAAGGAAGAAUAUCUGACGUUACUUGAAGAAUAAGCAUCGGCUAACUCCGUGCCAUCAGCCGCCGUAAAAC